rnacentral:tRNA from 1 species
GGGCUGGGGCUCAGUGGUAGAGUGCUUGCCUAGCAUGUGUGAGGCACUGGCUUUGAUUCUCAGCAGCACA